AAGACCUUGCGCUUUUGGAGCGGCCGAUGCCUGAUUAGCUAGUUGGUGGGGUAAUGGCCUACCAAAGCUUCGAUCAGUAGCUGGUCUGAGAGGACGGCCAGCCACACUGGGACUGAGACACGGCCCAGACUCCUACGGGAGGCAGCAGUGGGGAAUUUUGGACAAUGGGCGCAAGCCUGAUCCAGCCAUGCCGCGUGAGUGAAGAAGGCCUUCGGGUUGUAAAGCUCUUUCAGCCGGGAAGAAAAGGUUGCGAUUAAUAAUCGCAAUUUAUGACGGUACCGGAAGAAGAAGCACCGGCUAACUACGUGCCAGCAGCCGCGGUAAUACGUAGGGUGCGAGCGUUAAUCGGAAUUACUGGGCGUAAAGGGUGCGCAGGCGGUUUUGUAAGUCAGAUGUGAAAUCCCCGGGCUUAACCUGAGAACU
rnacentral:rRNA from 1 species